rnacentral:rRNA from 1 species
GCACGUGCCUAGUUCAUACAUUUAAAAUGUGAGACUGCGGACGGCUCAGUAUAUCAGUUAUAAUCUGCUCGAUUGUCAAGGUUAUUGGAUAACCGUGGGAAAUCUAGAGCUAAUACAUGCACCUUCGGUGGGCGGUUCGCCGCACACUUUGCAUUUAUUAGAACGAUACCAACCGUGCGAGCAAUCGCACGUGGUGAAUCUAGAUAACUGUGCAGAUCGUACGGCCUUGAGCUGACGACAUUUCGAUUGAAUUUCUGCCCUAUCAACUUGUUGGGAGUGUAGUGUACUCCCAAGGUGUUUACGGGUAACGGGGGAUCAGGGUUCGAUUCCGGAGAGGGAGCCUGAGAAACGGCUACCACAUCCAAGGAAGGCAGCAGGCGCGCAAAUUACCCAAUCCAGACAAUGGGAGGUGGUGACGAAAAGUACCAAAUGGCAGCCUCUGGUUGUCAAUUUGGAAUGAAAACAAUUUAAGCAAUUGAAUUGAGUAACGACUGGAGGGCAAGUCUGGUGCCAGCAGCCGCGGUAAUUCCAGCUCCAGUAGCGUAUCUCAAAGUUGCUGCGCUUAAAACGCUCGUAGUUGGAUCACGCACUGCACGUCGGUGAACACUGGCGGUGCUGCUAGAGACUUUCUUCGUUCGGAUAUCGUGUUCUCACGGUAUUCUGGAGUUGAAAGAGCGCGCUGCCGGUGUUAUUAGCCGACGUGCAGUAAUUGCACGUGAGGAUGGCCGUUGAUCUUAAGUGCAUCGACAGUCGUGUCUCACGGGGUGUGCCUUGAGUAAAUCAGAGUGCUUAAAGCAGGCUUUACGCUUGAAUGUUGAUAGCAUGGAACGAACAAUCGUGUAUGGUGUGUGCUGAUUCCGGUGCGAUGGAGCUCGCUCCUCCACCGCAGUGCACGACACCGACCGCCAAUUACGGAUGUUGGUUCCGUAUUGGGGUACUGAUUAAGAGGAGCGGUUGGGGGCAUUGGUAUUUGGCAGCGAGAGGUGAAAUUCUUAGACCUGCCAAGGACUAACAAAUGCGAAGGCAUCUGUCCAGACCGUAUCCAUUAAUCAAGAACGAUAGUGAGAGGUUCGAAGACGAUCAGAUACCGUCCUAGUUCUCACUGUAAACUAUGCCGACCCGGGAUCAGUUUGGAGCUAAGUAUCCACGCUCGGAGUUGGUCCCCCUGGGAAACCUGAAGUUUUUCGGUUGCGGGGGGAGUAUGGUCGCAAGGCUGAAACUUAAAGGAAUUGACGGAAGGGCACCACCAGGGGUGGAGCCUGCGGCUUAAUUUGACUCAACACGGGAAAACUUACCUGGUCCGGACAUCAAAAGGAUAGACAGACUAAAAGAUCUUUCUUGAUAUGGUGAUUGGUGGUGCAUGGCCGUUCUUAGUUCGUGGAGUGAUCUGUCAGGCCAAUCCCGGUAACGAACGAGACCACAAUCUCCAGUUGACGAGUCGGGGAAGGCGUCGAUUUCGCCGGAUUGGCAACAAUUUCGACGGAAAAGAUGCUGCAGGAAGUUUAAAUUGUGUUAAAAGUCGUUUUGAGGUGUGGCAACAUGCCGAGAUUCGGCUAACACGUUUUUACUCCCCCCGGCCUAACAGUGGGUGGUUCAUCCGGACCCCUUGCUGUAUCCUGGAGAGACAACGGAAUAUAUUACAAAAUCCGAGGAAGUGUGGCUAUAACAGGUCUGUGAUGCCCUUAGAUGUUCAGGGCUGCACGCGCGCUACAAUGGCGAUGACAACGAGUUUCUGGAUCGAAAGAUUCGGGUAACCUUGCAAUCAUCGCCGUGAUGGGGAUUGACGUUUGUAAAUACGUCAUGAAAGAGGAAUCCCUAGUACGCGCGGUUCAUGAAAUCGCGCGGAUUUAGUCCCUGCCCUUUGUACACAC